GUAGGUGGCAAGCGUUGUCCGGAUUUACUGGGCGUAAGGCGCGCGCAGGUGGCCCGCCAAGUCUGGGGUGAAAUCUCCCGGCUCAACCGGGAGAGGUCUCUGGAAACUGACGGGCUUGAGGAGAGCAGAGGAGAGUGGAAUUUCCGGUGUAGCGGUGAUAUGCGUAGAUAUCGGAAGGAACACCAGUGGCGAAGGCGGCUCUCUGGGCUCUUCCUGGCGCUGAGGCGCGAAAGCGUGGGGAGCGAACCGGGAUUAGAUACCCGGGUAGUCCACGCUGUAAACGUUGGGCACUAGGUGUGGGAGGUAUUGACCCCCUUCCGUGCCCGAAGUUAACGCAUUAAGUGCCCCGCCUGGGGAGUACGGCCGCAAGGCUA
rnacentral:rRNA from 1 species